GUGACGUAUAAUCUAGUGGACGGGACGCUCCUUCAACAACAACAGCUAGUCAGACACCUCGGUAGCUUUCUAGCAAACAUAGCUACAACAUUCACGCUCUUUACACUGUUUUGGUGUAUAUUAGUCGCUGUGUAUUAAACACACUUCUGUCGUAUGUACUUGUUGGCCCAUUUAAUUAUAUAUUUACGUUGUUUCUCAGCUAGCUGGUUUGCUAGGUUAGCUUAGAUCGAGGAAGUCGCUAAUGCUAACUAGCUAACAUCCCCGACCAUGAGUUCACUAAGCGACUCUCCUCCAGUUAAAGAGGGUGUCUGCUGGACGGAGAAAGAAGCUCUCGUCAAAGAGGAGGAGGCUGUUACAAUACAACAAGUAGAGGUGGAAGAAGAAGAAGACGCGUUUUGAGUGAAAGAGGAGGAGAUGACUGUCACAUUGGAGGAAGAAGAGGAGGUUGGAGAUCUGUUUAACACCAGGCACAGCAGAGGAACUUCAUCGAUUCCACUCCUUCAUCAAGCUGUAAACAUCUGAAAUUCAACCUCACCUUUGAUGCGCAUGAAACAAGUUAUCUGGACAUUUUGAUUAAGAGGGAGGUGGGUGGCUUUAGCACAGACCUAUACAGGAAGCCGACUGACAGGAAUUCCCUCUUACGCGGAGACAGCUUCCACCCUACACCCCUAAAAAAACAAUUGUCGUGGACCAGAUCGUGGAUACAACUCAUUUACUAAGUCUUUAACCACACUGUGUUGUUACACUGCCAGCAGAUGGACUAGAUGCCGCCCGUUGUGACUCCGUCAAGAAUUCAGCAGAGCAGGUUUGUAUGAAGGUCUGGUUAUUAAAUGGGUUCAUAGUUCAAUAGUAAUAUCCUCUAAAACGCUCUGGUGACAAACUUUGCUGCCCUGUUUCCAAUUGUCCACAUGGCUGGGAGAACCUAUUCAAGUAAGUAAGUAAGUAAAUAGAUUUUGAAAAUGUAAAAAAAAACGAUGUAUUAUUAGCUAACUAGCUACAGUGCAGACUAACUCAAAUGAGCUCCUAAAUGAGCUAUCUAGACAACUUCGAAUACUGUAUAGAUAAAUAACAAGCUAUGUGAAUUAAAUAUCACCUGAUACCUAUCUUGAUGUAUUUAUCACUGUAAAAAACAAAUUCCAAAUGCAUUUGUAGGUAGCUAGCUAACAGCCACGGAGGAGGGUGAAAGGAUAGCAGCCCCAACUGUCAAUGAGAGAGUAGGCAAUUCUGGAUAGGGCAGGUACAUUUGUGUAGUUCCUGUCCCUAGAAGUGAGAACGGAGAUAAUAGUAACAUAAUAUUCAGUGUGGUGUAAUUUGACUAUAAUGAAGUCUGUUUCUUGUGAGGUUUUCUGUCCUCAGAUAAAGAGCGCUAUGAAAGCCAGUCUACAUAUGAAGAGGUCCCAAUGAAGAGCAGUGGUUCUCAGUCCUGGGGACUCAGAGAUACCUUGUAACUGGAGAUUCCUUCAAAAUGAUUGCCUACAGUUACCGUGUAGGGCACUGCAAGGUUGGGUGACCAGGGUCAUCUGGGACUGCCUCCUGGAGGAAUUCAGGUGUGUGAAGGCUACCUGUGUCCUGCGUAACUUCAUGAGGAUGGACACGAGGACCAGGAGGGGAUCUGCAGCUCGCCGCCGCGUGCCAGAGGAGAAGUCUGCUGCUCUGCAGGAUGUUUCAAGGAUGGGGUCCAACAACGCAGCAAGAGAGGCAAUCCGUGUGCAGGAGAUCUUCACCUCCUACUUCUUCAAAGAGGGUAUGUUUUGAUGUGAGAGGAUGCCAACCCCCAGUCCCAUCAUCGCCACCUCACCUGCUUUUGAGAUAACCUUUGGGCCGACAAGAGACACUAUUUUGUAAUUGUGAUGAACUGAGAGAAUAUUUAAGUAGCACUCUGAUUCAUUAAUCAUGUGCUGCCUUCCCUGCUCCUAUGUGCUUACCUCUUUCCGUUUCUGUCUUUUACACCUCUCCCGCCGCCACCUCUUUCUUCCUGUUUUUAUAAUGCACAACAGAUGUGCAUUGAAGUACAGAUUGAACUUGUAUUUAUAACACUUGGAUAAUGAGCUUUUCAAUAAAGCGUUUCACAUUCUC